rnacentral:rRNA from 1 species
UACGGGGGGAGCAAGCGUUGUUCGGAUUUACUGGGCGUAAAGGGCGCGUAGGCGGUCAGCACAAGUCAGUUGUGAAAUCUCCGGGCUUAACUCGGAAAGGUCAACUGAUACUGUGCGACUAGAGUGCGGAAGGGGCAACUGGAAUUCCUGGUGUAGCGGUGAAAUGCGUAGAUAUCAGGAGGAACACCGGUGGCGAAGGCGGCCCUCUGGACGGUGACUGACGCUGAGACGCGAAAGCGUGGGGAGCAAACAGG